UGGUGUGGCCUAGAUCAUAUACCAACCUUUAACGUAUUUUUGACUAGUUCUUUCCUUUAUAGGGGGGAUUGUUAUAAUAAUAGUGUUUACUUUGAGGAAAUUAGAGUGUUAAAAGCAAGCAUAACAUUUGCCUGAAUAUAUUAGCAUGGGAUAAUAAUAUAAAGCUAAAACCUGCAUUCUAAUGGGGGAUUUUAUUUCUUGUUAGGUGCAUUGUUGUUGGUUCAAUAAAGAGGGAUUUAGCUAUGAUUAAUAGGGAUAGUUGUGGUCACUUGUAUUGAGCCUGGAGAGGUGAAAUUCUAGGAUCGGCUCAAGACAAACUACAGCGAAAGCAUUUGACAAGGAUGUUUUCACUAAUCAAGAACGAAAGUUAGGGGAUCGAAGAUGAUCAGAUACCGUCGUAGUCCUAACUAUAAACGAUGUCGACCAAGGAUCCAGGAACGUUACAUGGAUGACUCCCUGGGCACUUUACGAGAAAUCAUAAGUAUUCGGACUCUGGGGGGA
rnacentral:rRNA from 1 species